GCCUUUGUGGGCGGGACGCCGAGCCCGGAGCCCCCUGGAUCGGGCGCGCGCCGAGGAGCAGGACUGGACCGCCGGGAAGGGGGCGGGGCCCAGAGAGGGGUCCAGCCCGCCCCUUCCCAAAAAAAGACCUAGCCGGUGGCGGCGUCUCCUGGGAGUCCGCUUCCUGCCCCGCCCCUCCGCCCCCCUGGCUCCUUAAAGGCGCAGGCCUCCAGCCCUACUCCCACUGCUGCCAACUGCUGGGCUGCUGUUGGAGGAUCUCCUUUAAUCUGGGAGGGAACUUUCACUUCGCUGAAUUGAACCUGUGUCUGGGUCAGUCCUGGCGAGCUUCUUCCUCUAUUUCAAACAUGCAUUGGCUUAACUCAGCUGAAGCAAAGCCUAGGAUGUGGAGAGGGCUCUGUGGGGCCUUCCAGACUAGAUAAAUAUAAUGACUAAGAGCCCCUUCCACACACCCAACAGUGUCUCCAGGUCCCUGCAGAAACCGCAUAACUCGUCCUCCAGUCUGCACCUGACUUCCCCCAUCAGUCUCCUCUUGGUGUGAGGAAAGAUCAGGCCAUAAAUUCAGAAGAAUAAAACUAUCAAGGCAACUUUUACACCAAAAUCAACUUGACACUUCCCAGACAGCUGCUAGAAUACACAAAAAACUUGCUCACUCACAGCAUGGCACUCAUAAGUAAAGAAGGAUACAAGGAGAGAUGCUAAAAAUAAUUAGGUAUAAUUGGUAUGCUCCAUGUUUUUAAAAUUAGCUUAUCAGCAUUAUAAGAGCUGCCCUGUUCAUCGCGUCCCACGUUGCAGAGGAAGAAGUCACAGCAAAGAGAGGAGCUCAUUCUUUCUAGAUGACUUUUAUACAAGACUCUGCUGUAAUUGACUGACAGGAAAAUAGACUCAUGGACCUGACAUCACCACCAUAACUAACACUUAGAUGAUUCAACCUGUCAGAGCCCUGAGGCUUGAGAGUUCCAGAAAAAUUCCUGCCCUGGAGCAUAGGACUUCUAAGGAGGGAGAUGCUAGGCCAUGAACAGCCCCCAGUACAUAGUUGUAUAUUCUAGUUGUAGGUCCUUCUGGCCCUGCUAUG